rnacentral:rRNA from 1 species
GACGAACGCUGGCGGCGUGCUUAACACAUGCAAGUCGAACGGAAAGGCCCAGCUUGCUGGGUACUCGAGUGGCGAACGGGUAAGUAACACGUGGGUGAUCUGCCCUGGACUCUGGGAUAAGCCUGGGAAACUGGGUCUAAUACCGGAUAUGACCUUACAUCGCAUGGUGUUUGGUGGAAAGCUUUUGCGGUUCAGGAUGGGCCCGCGGCCUAUCAGCUUGUUGGUGGGGUAAUGGCCUACCAAGGCGACGACGGGUAGCCGACCUGAGAGGGUGAUCGGCCACACUGGGACUGAGACACGGCCCAGACUCCUACGGGAGGCAGCAGUGGGGAAUAUUGCACAAUGGGCGCAAGCCUGAUGCAGCGACGCCGCGUGAGGGAUGACGGCCUUCGGGUUGUAAACCUCUUUCACCAGGGACGAAGCGUGAGUGACGGUACCUGGAGAAGAAGCACCGGCCAACUACGUG